rnacentral:rRNA from 1 species
UACGUAGGGGGCAAGCGUUGUCCGGAUUUAUUGGGCGUAAAGGGCGCGUAGGCGGCUUUGCGUGUCUUUCGUGAAAUCCCUCGGCUCAACUGAGGACGUGCGGAAGAAACUGCAGGGCUGGAGUCCGGGAGAGGAGGGUGGAAUUCCCAGUGUAGCGGUGAAAUGCGUAGAUAUUGGGAGGAACACCGGUGGCGAAGGCGGCCCUCUGGACCGGUACUGACGCUGAUGCGCGAAAGCGUGGGGAGCAAACGGG